AUUGAACGCUGGCGGCAUGCCUUACACAUGCAAGUCGAACGGUAACAGGUCUUCGGAUGCUGACGAGUGGCGAACGGGUGAGUAAUACAUCGGAACGUGCCUAGUAGUGGGGGAUAACUACUCGAAAGAGUGGCUAAUACCGCAUGAGAUCUACGGAUGAAAGCAGGGGAUCGCAAGACCUUGUGCUACUAGAGCGGCCGAUGGCAGACUAGGUAGUUGGUGGGAUAAAAGCUUACCAAGCCGACGAUCUGUAGCUGGUCUGAGAGGACGAUCAGCCACACUGGGACUGAGACACGGCCCAGACUCCUACGGGAGGCAGCAGUGGGGAAUUUUGGACAAUGGGCGCAAGCCUGAUCCAGCAAUGCCGCGUGCAGGAUGAAGGCCUUCGGGUUGUAAACUGCUUUUGUACGGAACGAAAAGCCCCGGGUUAAUACCCUGGGGUCAUGACGGUGCCGUAAGAAUAAGCACCGGCUAACUACGUGCCAGCCGCCGCGGUAA
rnacentral:rRNA from 1 species